rnacentral:rRNA from 1 species
UACGUAGGGACCGAGCGUUGUCCGGAUUCAUUGGGCGUAAAGAGCUCGUAGGCGGCCACUCAAGUCGAAUGUGAAACCUCGAGGCUUAACCUCGAGCCUGCAUUCGAUACUGGGCGGCUAGAGUCUGGUAGGGGGAUCUGGAAUUCCUGGUGUAGCGGUGAAAUGCGCAGAUAUCAGGAGGAACACCGGUGGCGAAGGCGGGUCUCUGGGCCGAUAUUGACGCUGAGGAGCGAAAGCGUGGGGAGCGAACAGG